CUUUUAGGCGAUUUGUAUUGAUUGAAUACACCGCAGAUAUGGUGUGCAUUUUAUAUGAAACAAGGCAUGAUUUCUUCUUUGAAGAAGCACUUCUUGAUCUCAUUAUUUCUUCAGCAGCAAAUCCAGGAACAUGAUAAGCAAAGUAAACAUGAUUAUGCUCAAGGAUGGAUAACUGAUUAAGCUGUUGCAAGACUUAGAGAAGUAGCUGUUUAGUGCUAUAAACUGUGAUAAUCAUCUCCUUGCUUGACUGACCAUGGAUAGUAGGACCUUCCACAGGAGGCACAACUUCUGCUAAAGAGGAAACUCCUAUCAGCUGAAGAUGUGGAGUAAUGUAAAGCAGGAGGAUGUAUGUUCCAGGAAACAAUUACCCUGGCUCUUUGCAGAGAAAAAAGAAGAAAGGGAGUAAAAUCUAAAGCAUUAAUUCCACACCCCUCCACAUCUCCCCCAUCCUUCUUUCACAGAUUCGUUUCCGCGGCAGAGCUGAGCUGAUUAAGGACCACUGGCCAGAGGGGAGCAGUGUCAGGGCCACCCAGCCUGGCACCAGGCAUCCUGCAGCUG
rnacentral:lncRNA from 1 species